AGUAAUAUAACUUAGCAAGGAAGCCAUCGUAUAGAGGUAUGUUCUCUCAUAUAUUGAUUACUCAUAUUCUCCCAUACACACGACUGAGAUUUUAAUUCUCUCAAUACACUAGACCAUAUAUUCCUCCAUUGUUAACCUUGUGAACACGUACUAAUUCUCACGCCUGAGCUAUCCCCCGACGGAACCGCCGUCAAGCUUUCGGUGUUGACUGUGUUUACUGUGCAGGAUCAGGACGUCUUACGUGAUUGGGACGUGGAGAAAGAUCUUGGCGUUAACAUUGGCGCUAGAAGGAGGGGUUUUUGAGUUCUAGUGUCAUAAAAAUUUUCAAUCACAAUCGUUUAACCUACUUCAGAAGAUGAUGAGGAGUAGGGAUGGUACACCAGAAGGGCAGGCGAUGGCUGUUAGCUCGUCACUGCCUCGUGUUUCGGUGAAGGAUCGUCUGGGUCCUUCCAAGAGUGCUCACGAGAGCACGGCUUCUAAGCAUAAUUCAGGGGAUCUCCGUCCGAAGAUUCCGGGCGGGGCUAGACGAAGAUUGGUUUUCGAUGCGAAUGAGGAGCGAGGUCAUGGUCGAGGACAGGUGGAAGGCUCGCCAACCAAGAUUCAUCAUAGAAGUAGCCAAGGAGAUAGAGCUGCCAAGUUGGCGAAGAUGGCAGACGAAGCAGACAGAGCCAUGGCGGUCCUACUAAAGUAAAGAGAA
rnacentral:lncRNA from 1 species